rnacentral:rRNA from 1 species
CCUACGGGAGGCAGUAGUGGGGAAUAUUUCGCAAUGGGCGAAAGCCUGACGCAGCGACGCCGCGUGCGGGAUGAAGGUCUUCGGAUCGUAAACCUCUGUCAGCAGGGAAGAACGGUCACUGUGCUAAUCAGCAGUGAAUUGACGGUACCUGCAAAGGAAGCACCGGCUAACUCCGUGCCAGCCGCCGCGGGAAUACGGAGGGUGCGGGCGUUAAUCGGAAUUACUGGGCGUAAAGCGCUCGUAGGCGGUAUGUCAAGUCAAUGGUGAAAUCCCCGCGCGCAACGUGGGAACUGCCUUUGAAACUGGCAAACUGGAGUGUGUGAGAGGAUAGUGGAAUUCCAGGUGGAGGAGUGAAAUCCGUAGAUAUCUGGAGGAACAUCAGUGGCGAAGGCGACUAUCUGGCACAUAACUGACGCUGAGGAGCGAAAGCGUGGGUAGCAAACAGGAUUAGAUACCCUUGUAGUC